UACGGAGGAGGCAAGCGUUAUCCGGAAUUAUUGGGCGUAAAGCGUCCGUAGAUGGUUUUGUCAGUCUGCUGUCAAAGCACAGGGCUUAACCCUGUAAAGGCAGUGGAAACUACAAGACUAGAGUGCAGUAGGGGCAGAGGGAAUUCCCAGUGUAGCGGUGAAAUGCGUAGAGAUUGGGAAGAACAUCCGUGGCGAAAGCGCUCUGCUGGACUGCAGCUGACAUUGAGGGACGAAAGCUAGGGGAGCGAAUGGG
rnacentral:rRNA from 1 species